rnacentral:tRNA from 1 species
GUGUAGUUCAGUGCUAGAGCACUUGCCUAGCAUGCAUGAGGCCCUGAGUUCAAUUCCCAGCAC